rnacentral:sRNA from 2 species
AUGGACCACGCGUCAACUGCGGUCAUGGGCGCGCCGUCCGCGCCCACCUGACAGCUGCUCGCUACGUGUUGUUAGCC